rnacentral:rRNA from 1 species
UACGUAGGGUGCAAGCGUUAAUCGGAAUUACUGGGCGUAAAGCGUGCGCAGGCGGUUUGGAAAGAAAGGUGCGAAAUCCCAGAGCUUAACUUUGGAACUGCACUUUUAACUGCCAAGCUAGAGUAUGUCAGAGGGGGGUAGAAUUCCACGUGUAGCAGUGAAAUGCGUAGAGAUGUGGAGGAAUACCGAUGGCGAAGGCAGCCCCCUGGGAUAAUACUGACGCUCAUGCACGAAAGCGUGGGGAGCAAACAGG